rnacentral:rRNA from 1 species
UUGAAUGGGGCGGCUAUACAUGCAAGUCGAGCGAACAGAUGAGAAGCUUGCUUCUCUGAUGUUAGCGGCGGACGGGUGAGUAACACGUGGGUAACCUACCUAUAAGACUGGGAUAACUCCGGGAAACCGGGGCUAAUACCGGAUAAUAUUUUGAACCGCAUGGUUCAAUAGUGAAAGACGGUUUCGGCUGUCACUUAUAGAUGGACCCGCGCCGUAUUAGCUAGUUGGUAAGGUAACGGCUUACCAAGGCGACGAUACGUAGCCGACCUGAGAGGGUGAUCGGCCACACUGGAACUGAGACACGGUCCAGACUCCUACGGGAGGCAGCAGUAGGGAAUCUUCCGCAAUGGGCGAAAGCCUGACGGAGCAACGCCGCGUGAGUGAUGAAGGUCUUCGGAUCGUAAAACUCUGUUGUUAGGGAAGAACAAAUUUGUUAGUAACUGAACAAGUCUUGACGGUACCUAACCAGAAAGCCACGGCUAACUACGUGCCAGCAGCCGCGGUAAUACGUAGGUGGCAAGCGUUAUCCGGAAUUAUUGGGCGUAAAGCGCGCGUAGGCGGUUUCUUAAGUCUGAUGUGAAAGCCCACGGCUCAACCGUGGAGGGUCAUUGGAAACUGGGAAACUUGAGUGCAGAAGAGGAGAGUGGAAUUCCAUGUGUAGCGGUGAAAUGCGCAGAGAUAUGGAGGAACACCAGUGGCGAAGGCGGCUCUCUGGUCUGUAACUGACGCUGAUGUGCGAAAGCGUGGGGAUCAAACAGGAUUAGAUACCCUGGUAGUCCACGCCGUAAACGAUGAGUGCUAAGUGUUAGGGGGUUUCCGCCCCUUAGUGCUGCAGCUAACGCAUUAAGCACUCCGCCUGGGGAGUACGACCGCAAGGUUGAAACUCAAAGGAAUUGACGGGGACCCGCACAAGCGGUGGAGCAUGUGGUUUAAUUCGAAGCAACGCGAAGAACCUUACCAAAUCUUGACAUCCUUUGACCGCUCUAGAGAUAGAGUCUUCCCCUUCGGGGGACAAAGUGACAGGUGGUGCAUGGUUGUCGUCAGCUCGUGUCGUGAGAUGUUGGGUUAAGUCCCGCAACGAGCGCAACCCUUAAGCUUAGUUGCCAUCAUUAAGUUGGGCACUCUAGGUUGACUGCCGGUGACAAACCGGAGGAAGGUGGGGAUGACGUCAAAUCAUCAUGCCCCUUAUGAUUUGGGCUACACACGUGCUACAAUGGAUAAUACAAAGGGCAGCGAAUCCGCGAGGCCAAGCAAAUCCCAUAAAAUUAUUCUCAGUUCGGAUUGUAGUCUGCAACUCGACUACAUGAAGCUGGAAUCGCUAGUAAUCGUAGAUCAGCAUGCUACGGUGAAUACGUUCCCGGGUCUUGUACACACCGCCCGUCACACCACGAGAGUUUGUAACACCCGAAGCCGGUGGAGUAACCUUUUAGGAGCUAGCCGUCGAAAGGGGACCAAAAGGGGC